rnacentral:rRNA from 1 species
AACUUUCAACAACGGAUCUCUUGGCUCUCGCAUCGAUGAAGAACGCAGCGAAAUGCGAUAAGUAAUGUGAAUUGCAGAUUUUCAGUGAAUCAUCGAAUCUUUGGACGCACCUUGCGCUCCUUGGUAUUCCGAGGAGCAUGCCUGUUUGAGUGUCA